GUGAGCCUUGUGAUGGGAAACCUUCCUGCACGGUUCGGAGCGCACUGAAUUAGAAUGAGGGGUUCAUCACCAUAUCAUUGCAUGCAAGAGGAGCUAGUCAGAGUACAAGCACGCCAU
rnacentral:sRNA from 1 species